rnacentral:misc_RNA from 1 species
CUCUCUCUCUCUCUCUCUCUUUAUAUAUACACACACAAACGCGUGUGCGUUUACGCACACAUUUUCGAACUUAGAUAUGUGCUUUCAUGAUUGUUUUCUUACUUAAUAUUAUCUACAUAUUUCUUAAAAAUUAAAUUGUUCAUAUAUUAAAUUUUAAUCAUAAUACUCUUGAGUUUAGCUAAGAGCCAUGAAAUUAGAUUUAAGAAUGUAUAUGUGUGUGUGUAUAUAUAUAAUUAAUUAAUUAAGUUGAUUAUAAUUAUAUUAAUUAUGAUCAUUUGAAAGAUUAAGGUUCAAGUUUACAACCAAGUUAUAAAACCAUCACUUUUUCCCUCUUUAUUUUAGAUAUAUGAAAUAACGUGUAAGAUUAUUACAUAAAUGAAAUUUUUUAUGAUAUAAUGAUAAAGUAUGAUAUCAUGAAGUUUAUGUCCCGUUACUAACCCGUUUGUGCAUGUGUUUUAUCUCUGACAAAAAAGAGAUAUCAUGAAGUUUAUGAUAUAUUUAAAUCAUAAAUGCACAAAAAUUUAAAAAUAAUAUAAUUAAUGAAGUAAAAGAAAUAAUUUAAAAAAAAUAAAAUCCUUACAUUAGAUUCUACAAAUUAACAAAAUUAUAUAUACACCUAAUUUAAAAAAAAUAACCAUAAAAAUUGACACACAUUUAUAUUUAACAUAUGGUUAUAAGAUAAAGUAUAACUAAAAGUAGGUACAUUCUAUUGUCUUUCUUCAUUGCACAUGUCCAUAGUCCACAACUAACAAAUUUGAUCUACAAACUAGACAUUAAAAAAAAAAAAAAGGAAAUUGAUGAGCAAGUCACAAGACGAAAUAGUGCGAUGAAAAAAGAACAAAAAAGAAACACAAAAUGAUAGAUAGAACCUGACUUGGAGUCAAGGCUCCGAUACCAUGAUUGAUGCCAAUAUCAAGAACAAUGCCUUGAAACCCAUGAACAGGUUUGAUUUAUAAUCCCAAAAAAGUCAAAAUCAAGUUCAAACACCAAAGAAUACCUUGACCUAUCAAUUAUAUAGAAUUGAAAACCAAGAUAAUUCAAAGGUAGAAUUAAGGAUUCUUGACCCAAGGUUUAUAAUCAAACAAAAAUCAAGAAUAUCGAGAUUGUUAAAUCCUACAAGAUUA